GAUGAAGAACGUAGCGAAAUGCGAUAAGUAGUGUGAAUUGCAGAAUUCAGUGAAUCAUCGAAUCUUUGAACGCACAUUGCGCCCCUUGGUAUUCCAUGGGGCAUGCCUGUUCGAGCGUCAUUUGUACCUUCAAGCUCUGCUUGGUGUUGGGCGUCUGUCCCCGCUUCCCGCGAGGACUCGCCCCAAAUCCAUUGGCAGCGGCAUCGCCGGCUUCUCGCGCAGCACAUUGCGCUUCGGAAGGCUCCCGGCGGGCUCGCGUCCAGCAAGAACCCCCCCAGUUUGACCUCGAAUCAGGUAGGGAUACCCGCUGAACUUAAGCAUAUCAAUAAGCGGAGGA
rnacentral:misc_RNA from 1 species